rnacentral:misc_RNA from 1 species
GAUGAAGAACGUAGCGAAAUGCGAUAAGUAAUGUGAAUUGCAGAAUUCAGUGAAUCAUCGAAUCUUUGAACGCACAUUGCGCCCAUUAGUAUUCUAGUGGGCAUGCCUGUUCGAGCGUCAUUAAGUCCACUUAAGCCCUGCUUAGUGUUGGGAGACUGCUCCAGCGGUGCUACCCUGUAGCUACCCUGCAGCUCCUCAAAGACAGCGGCGGAGUUGUGGUAUCCUCUGAGCUUAGUAACUUGUUCUAGCUUUCGAGUUCACCACUUCCCCUGCCGUAAAACCCUUAAUUUUUAAUGGUUGACCUCGGAUCAGGUAGGAAUACCCGCUGAACUUAAGCAUAUCAAUAAGCGGAGGA